CUAAACAUCUACACAAGUACUAUGAUUAUCUUUUGAUCACAUACAUUGCAUUUAACUUGUACAUUCAUAGUUCUUUACAUACUUUUCAUCAUUUCUUUUUACAUCACAUUCUCCUCGAGAUAAACAUUACAUUCUUUUUCCUUUUACAUCUCAACUCAUCAAAUACAAAAGAUGAAGUAGGAGAAUGCUACUACAAAAUAUAAACCCGACUCGGGUAGUCACUGUCUAUGGCGCGAUACUUUUACCGCUGUCGCUCGCCGGCUCGCUCGAUCCCGGCUCUGU
rnacentral:lncRNA from 1 species